rnacentral:rRNA from 1 species
GUCCACGCCGUAAACGAUGAUCACUGGACGUUGGUCUUGCCUAGCAGGAUCAGUGUCGAAGCUAACGCGUUAAGUGAUCCGCCUGGGGAGUACGGUCGCAAGACUAAAACUCAAAGAAAUUGACGGGGGUCCGCACAAGCGGUGGAACAUGUGGUUUAAUUCGACACUACGCGAGAAACCUUACCUAGGCUUGACAUGUAACUGCUACCGGUAGAAACAUCGGGUUCUGUAGAAAUACAGACGGUUACACAGGUGCUGCAUGGCUGUCGU